rnacentral:tRNA from 1 species
AACUAUAUAGUCUAAAAAAGAUAUUAAAUUGCAAGUUUAAAGAUAAAGGGUUUUUAUAGUUU